UGAAGGGCAUCCCUCGGCCCCAAACUUUAGGAAGUGUGUUUAUUUCCAGCUCCUGAGGCCCAGCUUGCCAAACUAUAGUUGUGUCCUGCUGGUGGAUGGGAAGGGGAGGGAGCCCUGGCCUGCUCCCAGACUGGGAAGGAUGCUUAUACCCCUAGGUUCUGUUGCACAGGUGGUUCAAUCUGAGCAGCCCAAGGGUGGCAUCACCAUCCAUCGCCCCAGCUGGGGCAGGACACAAGCAGGAAUCUCAUGGGAUAACAAGAUAUACCUGAAUUUUGGCCACAAACGGAUGGGAACCACCUUGAACUCAGGGUUUCUACCCCAAAAAGGUCCACAACUCUAUUACAAGAAAAUAUUUGGAAAGGGGAUCGAGCAUGUGCUGAGAGUUUCCUGGACUGAGGCAUCCAUUGAAAACACACAGCAAUGGACUCAGGCUGACAUCCACAGUUUGCUGCUGCUGCUUCCUGGGUUGCCUCUGGGGUGGAGGGAUGCAGGCACAGGCACGGCACUCCUUUGUAUUUGGUGGUGCAGACUUCUAAGGUGGCCUGGGGAAGGCUUUUGAGCAGGAGGGAAGGAAGCAACUGGAGGGAAAAAGGCCAUUUUUAAGGCCUUCCCUGGCAGUUGUCCCCCCACUCAGUGAAUGAGGUGUGAUUCACAGCAGGGCCAUCGCAACUUUCCAUCAUUCUGCCAUGCAGUUUCAGGAGGCAGAGCGGGGGAAUCCUCUGCGAGCCUUCAGCCAGGAGGCCAGGCUGUGCAUCCUUUGUCAAACUGCAGCACACACCACCGCUCAGAAAGCCUGCCGACAUGCCUGGCUACACCAGUGUUGUGGAAAGCUUGGAAACUGCAGAGAGACUGUUCUCAUCGCGCUGGAAAGUGGAGCCCAUAGGAGGAGGCUGCUCUUUUCCAGAGGGACCUGUCAGGACCAGUUACCAAAAAUGGAAGGUGAAAUAAGCAUGUGAUAAGAUUCAUGUAAAUCUCAGAUGAUUACUUGGGAUGCAGCAAAAGGGCUGACUAAAUGCAUUAAAAUACUUCUUCCCUAAGUAGCAGAUAGAUUAUGGUUGGUGUAAAAAAAUAAAAUCACCGUGUGCAAGGUUUAAGUGUGCAGUGGAUAAAAAACAGCUCUCAAACCUGGUAUGUAAAUCAUUCUGUUGUGUUCUCCAAUCCAUUGUACAUCUCAGUCACUGUGGCACUGGUGGAAUGGGUUUGAUCCUGCAGACAUGGGAUCAGAACACUUUCUUUAGCUUCCAGAGGUUUUUCUGGGGCGUCUUGGUGGCAGUUUUCUGGAAGAGUCUUUCACAAAAGAGCUUGUAAACUGUUAAGAAGGUGAGCUGGUGGUUUCUCCUAACAGGAAUGCCUGCUGUAGAAAUGUUUAGAGCUACGUUUUGAUGCAAUUUGAUUUUAACAUGUCGCUUCAUAUAGAACUGGUAUAUUUUAUAUGAUCAAAUUGCAUUCAUUUUGUCAUAAUUCUGUGAAUAAUGUUAGAGUUAAUAUCCAUCAGAUUAGUUAACUGCCCAGGGUAGUACUUAAUCCACUUUUAAUUUGAAUGAGGGGAUUUAAAAGUCUCUAAGAACAUUUUACACCAUUGCCCUUUUGCCAGAGUUCCUUUCUCAAGGACACCAUUCAGAGGGGUAUCAGAGUCUACAAAGGUCACUGACAGAACAGCUCUUGUCUGUUGGAUGACACUGAGUUGGCACACAGAGAUGCCAAGGUUUGGCUGACCAAAAAGAGGGCAGACAUGGUGAUGGAGAAUGAAUGGGUGCAUUGAAACAACUCCAACUCAGUCUGCAUCUGGAACCUCUCUGAAGCAGCCAGCCUGAGAAGUUUGCUUCCAGCUCUAUCCAGACAAUCCACUGAGAAGCCUAUAAACUCAGCAGUCUUUGCAUGGGGAAACAACUUCAGGUAUCUUAUUGCAGGAUGACUGCAGCAGGGCUGGAGGAUAACCAUGCGAGGAGAGCUUGUGUUUCUUGCCUUUCUCCAUGUUGCUUCUUUCCCCAUUAACAACUUGAAAAAAGCAAUGUGCAUCUCCAAGUCUAAACAUCCUUCUCAGGCAGAAAUCACCUGCAGGAAUACUCUGCAAGAGAAAUACUGUGUUAUUCCUCAGGUUUGGGUGCUCUGGAGUCGGAAUUAGAUGCUUUGCCAUCAAGUAGGUCAGACGUGUCCCCAGCCCACAGAUCCAAAUGAUAGGAUGAAUAGGAAAAGGAAGCAGGAGGCUACACAAUACAUGGUUUUAAUGGAUGUUUGGAUUGGUGGUUAAUGUGCAAGCGCAUGUUUGUUAAGAGUUACCAGGAUAUGAAUCAAAGAAAUAAAAACAGCAAUGCAUUAAGGUUUAGAGAACCUUUUGGGAAGAAGCAAAUUAAUAUUUUUAAAUGUAAAUAUUUUGACCCAACCUAUUAGUCAUGUUCUUGUGCUACAGAGUGAGACGUCUGAGUUUGAUGUGGUAACUCAUUUCCCAUUUUCUGCAGAAAUAGCACAUUGUGCUUCUUCCACCAGCACUUUAUCUGACUGAUUAAAUAGUGCUAUUUUCCAGAUGACAAUUAUUUGUCAAAAACUUGUGCUUUUCAGAAAAUACAUGCAUCUUCAAACUUUCCAGUAUUAAAAAAUACACCAGUCUCUCCCUGGAUUGUCAUGUUACCUCCAUUAAAAAAACAAACAAACAAGCAAACAAAACCCCACUUUUUUCUUUUUUUUUUCCCCAGAUUUUCUGUUAUUGGUGUGUGGCACUGCCCUUGGUCAGUCAGCAAAUUCCCAGUCUUGGCUUUUCUUUUGAGACGUACCACUGUGAGAAAUUGCUGGAGACAUUAGGAAUACCUCUUCAUUAGAUCAGUGAGUUUCCUCUUCACUUUCUCUCUACUCCUUAUAAUUCUCACAGACUCAUUUAGCUCAGAUUUUUAAACAGGAGUGACCUUAAAAAAGUUUAAUAAAAGAUCAAUAAAUAUCAGGACAUUAUAGGCACAAGAAGCGUAUUACAGAUUGUUAAAAACCAUUGUAAUUCAAAGAUGUCAACAUAGUCUUCUGUCAGUUUUUUACAUACUGUACCAUUUUAUAACAAUUGAUUUUUUAGACCAACAAUUUCCUAAGAUAUUUGCAAAUAUAAAAUUAAUACUAAACAUGAACUAUAUUUGCAAUGAUUUAUCAAAUUGUUAGAACUGAUGAUAACUGCAACAAUUAGCUGUGCUAGCAGAUGUACAUCAAGAGAGAUGCUUGCAACAAAUUUGCUUGUUCAGCUCUGGCUUUUCUCAAGAGUUCUCUUAAGCCAGAGGAAUCACCUAGAGUUUCUGCAGGGGUAGCUCUUAGUCAUGUUAUUAAAACAUUAUAGCUGGUGGAAGAGUGAGUUUACUGGUUUCAUGCCUAUUCCUGGUUCUCCAGAUAGAAAAGAGGUCCAGUCUGAGUGUUGUUUCCUACUGCUUCAUCCUUCAGCCCUUUGAAGACUGGGGCUGUAAAGAGGCAUUGCUGGGAUGUGGUGGCCCCAAUUGUUGGAAUUUCCUUUUUCCAUUGGUCUGAAAAAAGUACAAGCGCAUGACACAAAGCCUGUCUUCUUCCUCCAUUUCUGACUUACAGAACAGCUAUUGUGAGGAAUGUAAAGAGUUUUCUUCCAAGGAAGUAGUCUAAAGAGGUCUGUAAUAAUUGUGGAUUUACAUUUUUUAUAUGUCCCCAGAUAUGCUGUAAAUAAUGCAUUCUAUAAAUGCUAGGAAAAAAAAUGUAAUUGAAAACAAAAAAAGCAGUGCAUGUCACAGCUGCGUGCUUUGCCAACCUUUGUCUUGAGUCACCCAUUCAAGGAGAAAUGAAGUAAAGACUCCUUUCCCUGGGCUCACUUCCAGCCAUUUUGCAUUUUAACUAUAUUUAGGCCAACCCUUUUUCUGAAAGUUUUAAUUCUUACAGAAUUUAUGGACCAAAAAAAGAAAAAAAAAAAACAAAACCAAAACAAAACAAAACAAAAAAACAGUAAGAAGAAGAAUAAUACAGUAGCUAUAUUUGGCAAUAUAGUGCUACCAAAGUUUUUGCCUAUUUAAUGUCUUUGAGCUCUUUUUAAUUUAUUUUAUUUUCCUGAACUCUUUCUUGGCUGCCUAUUAAUAUAUGGAAAAAGGUCAAAAAACUUUAUUUAUUGAGAAUCUUGCUGUAGUAUAAAAGAUUUUUAUUUUGGCUGUCUACUCCUGACUAGCUGUUGGUUGACUAAGUAAUACUAGACUGACAGCCUCCUUCUGCUCCUUUUUAACUCUUUCUGAGAGAUGCACAAAAAUAGUCACUUAACUUACUUCGUGCAAGCUUGGUUUUUCAACUAAGAGGUUAAUGAACUGUACAGUAAAAAUACUGGUAUUGAAAAUGAGAUUGGAGAUUCCCAUGGGAUAAAGGAUGAGUCAGCUGGAGGUGGAGCCACGUCAUAUGAGAAGACAAGGAAAAAAAAAAAAGUUUUAAAACUGGUCCACCAUAGAUCAUUAUUUACCAGUGCGGGGAGUCAAAUGUGUCACUUAGCUCCAGCCACUAUAUCAAAUCACAUGAAUUUUACCACAGCUCUGAAAUUUUCUUUCCAGAUUGCCUUAUACUGUGCCCCAAAGACUUUGCCUGUCUUUGAGGUGACAUGCCGAUUUCCCACUGGAGUAAUAAUUCAAAUGAAAUCACAUCACGGUGACACCAGUACAAUUAAAUCAUAAAUAAGGAUCAUGACACGUAUUUCCAAAAGCUAUUAUGAAAUAUAUAUAGACAUAUAAUGUGGAUUAGAUUGUUAUUUAAAAGGCUUUUUUUUAAAGCUCAAUUUAAAUCAAAGUAGAUUGCCCAUAUUUACUACCCUUCCUUUCUAAUCUCAGGGUUUAGCAAGCAUGAACCUGUGUUACUCUCUCUAUUAUAUAAAUAGGAAGACUGAGACACUGAAUGUGAUUUUCUCCUGAUCAGAGAGCAGUGGGCAUGGGAAUGUUCCAGAUCUCAAGCUCCUCAAUUCCUCUGUCCUCUCUGUUGCGUUGAUCUGUCUCCAUAAUUCCUUAUUUAGCUAUUGGCUAGAGAUGAUCAGGACAAUUCUUUACUAAUUCUAGAAUCAUACCAACUCUAUUCCCAGUAGGGCCGCCCUUCAACUCUUACAAGCAUUCUUCCCAUCCGUUACCUUCCCAAAAGUACCUGGGCUAAUUGGAGGUUUUACUGCAUCUGAAGUAGGUUAUAGUGAAAUUAGACAUGACAUGAAGUUUGCAGGAACACAGUUAUUGGAAUUAAUGGGCAUCAAUCUGGGAUGGGCUAGAGGCAGGCAAACCAUAUACCGUGCCCAGCUCAGUGAAGAGCAGCACACGACAGAAAAGGGAAGGGAAAAGCACUUGUGCAGCUCUUCCCCCGCGGAAUUAGGAGUCUGCAUGGGACAGUAGCUGUUUCCAGAUCCUCAGGAAAUGGCUUGAGCUUUAUUUAUCGCCAUGUAGAUAGUGCAGAAUAAUCCUGUGCCAGAUGUCAUCUUUUGUAUAGGCACACAGUGAGUGCAGUGGCUUGCAUUGCACAACACUGACAUCAUUGGAGGGAGAGUUAGCUGACCUAGACAUAUGAAAGUUUGGGCUCUAGACCUUCUGUUUGUGAAGCUUAUAUUUGUUUCCUAAUACAGCUGGUUAUCUUUUCAACGGUAUUUCAUUUUCUAGGCAAACUUUAAUUUAUUACAUUUUUUUCUCUGUCUCUGGGAAGUGAAUGGUAAGAAAUCAACCAGAUUAAAGUUAUCACAAAAAUAAGGAGAAAAGAUUACCUGUCUGGUGAUGAUCUGGAGAUAUUAUUCCUUACUGGCAAAAGCCCAGAGGAAUUGAGACUCUGAGUCUGUGGAUUCUUAACAUGGAGGUAAGCAGGGACAUGGAGAACAGCAGUUGUGACUCCAUGGGCUCAUGUUAACCUGGAGCAUAUUGUGUGUCAACAAUACCAACAGAUAGCACAGGAAUUUGGUCCAUUUUGGCUCCGGUCCUGCAAGGGUUUAGGCUUAUACCUCAGAUGCAUGGAGGCAGGGCAAUAAAGCUUGGAGAAUACAGAAGACUUUAUGGAAAAGAGGCAUGUUUUUCACUAGAAACUGGCUUUGCUGCAGAAAUUUUUGUGCGUCAAAAUAUCAAGCAGCACAGAGUUAAAUGGAAUCAUACUAAUAAACGUGGAUAAUCCCAUCAUCUGUGGUUGGGCUGACAGCAAAGCACCUCUGAACACACGCAGCCAAGCAAAAUUUUCCUGCAAUUAACUGGAUUUGAUUAAAUUUCUCAUUUAGUGGCUGAAGGAAAAGACACAGCAAGUAACUUUCUUGCUAACCUGGAACUUUGAGUAAUAGCUGUGGAUAUGACAAACCAGGAUCCCCACUGCAUUAAAUGGGAAAACUGUUGCUCUGAAUAUGGAAACACAAGUGCAAGAACUGAGUUUCUCAAGACCUUUCUCCUUGUCCUGAUCUUCUCAUUUUCUGAAAGAGAAGAAGAAAAUUUUGACCUCAAGAUGGCUGUUCUGAUGCUGUUACAUUUCCGUUAAAAAAAAAGUUGAAACUUUUUAAUUUUUGUUUCUGGGAAGGGCGGAAACCAGUUUCAAGGCCUUGAAAGCUACUGGGAAAUGGAGCUGUCGAUCUCCAGCCAGCUUUAGAUUAUGAUCUCUGAACUUGGAUGGGGGCAUGUAGUCACUGAUACCAUCCAUGUCCUUCCUUAUACAGGGCUAUGCUCUACUCAGAAUCACUGAAUCUUUACUAAAAUCACUUAUAGCAAGGUCCUGAAAAAUCUCUAAGUAAGUGAAACAAGCAGUUGCUUUUAUGAUCUUGUUAAAAUUGUGUAUGGCAUAUGGAGACUUAUAUGGGUGCUAAAUAUGUCAUAGGCUUGUUGCUAGAUAAAUCCUGAAUUAGUUUUAUACUAAGUAUCUUGUCUUAAAUUAUAUGAAUUUGGCCUGGUUUUGGUUUCAUUUCUCAUCUGUAUCAUCAAACUCUGUUACCUGCUGAAAGCUUCAUUUCUUUUAUACCAGUGACUUGAGUCCUUUUUAGUGCCACUUUGAAUAAAAACCAGAAAGAGCAAAAAAUUUUCCAUAAAAAAAUGCACAACAUUUUGCAAACAUUCCAGCUGCAACAUACAGAUCAGCUUCUUCAAAACCCAUUGAAAUUCUCCAUGAGCUCCGCCUUGCGUAAUUUUCUAUCAUGGGUAACAUCAGUGAUGUAACAACAGUGAGAGUUGACAGUAUCUGCCAGAUCACCUGGUUUGGGUCAGAUCUGCACAUCAUAGUGUUUAAGGUAAGCUUUUUGUUACAGGGGUCUUG